rnacentral:rRNA from 1 species
UACGUAGGGCGCAAGCGUUGUCCGGAAUCAUUGGGCGUAAAGAGCUCGUAGGCGGCCUGUCGCGUCUGCUGUGAAAUCCGGGCUCAACCCGGGCGUGCAGUGGAUACGGGCUGGCUAGAGGCAGGCAGGGGAGAACGGAAUUCCCGGUGUAGCGGUGAAAUGCGCAGAUAUCGGAGGAACGACCGGUGGCGAAGGCGGUCUCUGGGCCUG